UUAAGCGACUAAGCGUACACGGUGGAUGCCCUGGCAGUCAGAGGCGAUGAAGGACGUGCUAAUCUGCGAUAAGCGUCGGUAAGGUGAUAUGAACCGUUAUAACCGGCGAUUUCCGAAUGGGGAAACCCAGUGUGUUUCGACACACUAUCAUUAACUGAAUCCAUAGGUUAAUGAGGCGAACCGGGGGAACUGAAACAUCUAAGUACCCCGAGGAAAAGAAAUCAACCGAGAUUCCCCCAGUAGCGGCGAGCGAACGGGGAGCAGCCCAGAGCCUGAAUCAGUGUGUGUGUUAGUGGAAGCGUCUGGAAAGGCGUGCGAUACAGGGUGACAGCCCCGUACACAAAAAUGCACAUGCUGUGAGCUCGAUGAGUAGGGCGGGACACGUGGUAUCCUGUCUGAAUAUGGGGGGACCAUCCUCCAAGGCUAAAUACUCCUGACUGACCGAUAGUGAACCAGUACCGUGAGGGAAAGGCGAAAAGAACCCCGGCGAGGGGAGUGAAAAAGAACCUGAAACCGUGUACGUACAAGCAGUGGGAGCACGCUUAGGCGUGUGACUGCGUACCUUUUGUAUAAUGGGUCAGCGACUUAUAUUCUGUAGCAAGGUUAACCGAAUAGGGGAGCCGAAGGGAAACCGAGUCUUAACUGGGCGUUAAGUUGCAGGGUAUAGACCCGAAACCCGGUGAUCUAGCCAUGGGCAGGUUGAAGGUUGGGUAACACUAACUGGAGGACCGAACCGACUAAUGUUGAAAAAUUAGCGGAUGACUUGUGGCUGGGGGUGAAAGGCCAAUCAAACCGGGAGAUAGCUGGUUCUCCCCGAAAGCUAUUUAGGUAGCGCCUCGUGAAUUCAUCUCCGGGGGUAGAGCACUGUUUCGGCAAGGGGGUCAUCCCGACUUACCAACCCGAUGCAAACUGCGAAUACCGGAGAAUGUUAUCACGGGAGACACACGGCGGGUGCUAACGUCCGUCGUGAAGAGGGAAACAACCCAGACCGCCAGCUAAGGUCCCAAAGUCAUGGUUAAGUGGGAAACGAUGUGGGAAGGCCCAGACAGCCAGGAUGUUGGCUUAGAAGCAGCCAUCAUUUAAAGAAAGCGUAAUAGCUCACUGGUCGAGUCGGCCUGCGCGGAAGAUGUAACGGGGCUAAACCAUGCACCGAAGCUGCGGCAGCGACGCUGAUGCGUUGUUGGGUAGGGGAGCGUUCUGUAAGCCUGCGAAGGUGUGCUGUGAGGCAUGCUGGAGGUAUCAGAAGUGCGAAUGCUGACAUAAGUAACGAUAAAGCGGGUGAAAAGCCCGCUCGCCGGAAGACCAAGGGUUCCUGUCCAACGUUAAUCGGGGCAGGGUGAGUCGACCCCUAAGGCGAGGCCGAAAGGCGUAGUCGAUGGGAAACAGGUUAAUAUUCCUGUGCUUGGUGUUACUGCGAAGGGGGGACGGAGAAGGCUAUGUUGGCCGGGCGACGGUUGUCCCGGUUUAAGCGUGUAGGCUGGUUUUCCAGGCAAAUCCGGAAAAUCAAGGCUGAGGCGUGAUGACGAGGCACUACGGUGCUGAAGCAACAAAUGCCCUGCUUCCAGGAAAAGCCUCUAAGCAUCAGGUAACAUCAAAUCGUACCCCAAACCGACACAGGUGGUCAGGUAGAGAAUACCAAGGCGCUUGAGAGAACUCGGGUGAAGGAACUAGGCAAAAUGGUGCCGUAACUUCGGGAGAAGGCACGCUGAUAUGUAGGUGAAGUCCCUCGCGGAUGGAGCUGAAAUCAGUCGAAGAUACCAGCUGGCUGCAACUGUUUAUUAAAAACACAGCACUGUGCAAACACGAAAGUGGACGUAUACGGUGUGACGCCUGCCCGGUGCCGGAAGGUUAAUUGAUGGGGUCAGCGCAAGCGAAGCUCUUGAUCGAAGCCCCGGUAAACGGCGGCCGUAACUAUAACGGUCCUAAGGUAGCGAAAUUCCUUGUCGGGUAAGUUCCGACCUGCACGAAUGGCGUAAUGAUGGCCAGGCUGUCUCCACCCGAGACUCAGUGAAAUUGAACUCGCUGUGAAGAUGCAGUGUACCCG
rnacentral:rRNA from 1 species